rnacentral:rRNA from 1 species
UACGUAGGUGGCAAGCGUUGUCCGGAUUUAUUGGGUUUAAAGGGUGCGUAGGCGGCUUUGUAAGUCAGUGGUGAAAUAUGGCAGCUCAACUGUCAGGGUGCCAUUGAUACUGCGGAGCUUGAGUACAGAUGAGGUAGGCGGAAUUGACGGUGUAGCGGUGAAAUGCCUUGAUAUCGUCAAGAACACCGAUAGCGAAGGCAGCUUACUGGGCUGUAACUGACGCUGAGGCACGAAAGUGUGGGGAUCAAACAGG